GGCGCCCGCCGGGAGCCGCGCGCCCUCGGCCGCCGUUGGGGCCGUUGGGGCCGUUGGGGCCGUGCGCGUCCCCGCGCGUCCCCGCGGCUGGCGGGGGGGGCGCGGGCUGCCCGCCCCCCGCAGCCUUCACCCUCCUCCUCCUCCUCUUCCUCCUCCUCCUCUUCUUCCCUUUGCCCGGCCCGGCCCGGCCCGGCUCGGCUCGGCGCUGUGAUUGGGCGGAAGAUGGCGCUGGGCGGAUGGAAAUCCUAAUGACAGUCUCCAAGAUCGCCUCCAUCUGUACCAUGGGCGCCAAUGCCUCAGCUUUGGAGAAAGAGAUUGGUCCGGAACAAUUUCCAGUUAAUGAACACUAUUUUGGUUUGGUUAAUUUUGGGAAUACAUGCUACUGCAAUUCAGUUCUUCAGGCACUUUAUUUCUGUCGCCCAUUUCGAGACAAAGUCUUAGCAUAUAAGAGUCAACCAAGAAAAAAAGAGAAUCUCCUUACAUGCUUAGCUGAUCUCUUCCACAGUAUAGCCACCCAGAAGAAAAAAGUUGGAGUUAUACCUCCCAAGAAAUUUAUAACAAGAUUACGAAAAGAAAAUGAGCUUUUUGAUAACUACAUGCAGCAGGAUGCACAUGAGUUCUUAAACUAUCUAUUAAAUACAAUUGCGGAUAUCUUGCAAGAAGAAAGAAAACAAGAGAAGCAAAAUGGUCGCCUACCCAAUGGCAACAUUGAUAAUGAAAAUAACAGUCCACCAGACCCAACCUGGGUUCAUGAAAUCUUUCAGGGAACAUUAACAAACGAAACCAGAUGUCUUACAUGUGAAACUAUAAGCAGCAAAGAUGAAGACUUCUUAGACCUUUCAGUUGAUGUGGAACAGAAUACUUCAAUCACUCAUUGUUUAAGGGGUUUCAGCAAUACAGAAACUCUGUGCAGUGAAUACAAAUAUUAUUGUGAAGAAUGUCGCAGUAAGCAAGAAGCACAUAAAAGGAUGAAAGUAAAAAAGCUACCUAUGAUUCUAGCUCUCCAUUUGAAGAGAUUUAAAUACAUGGAUCAGCUGCAUCGAUACACAAAACUCUCUUAUAGAGUAGUUUUUCCUUUAGAGCUUCGUUUAUUUAACACCUCAGGAGAUGCCACCAAUCCUGACAGAAUGUAUGACCUUGUUGCUGUGGUGGUUCAUUGUGGAAGUGGCCCUAACAGAGGACAUUAUAUUGCAAUAGUGAAAAGUCAUGAUUUUUGGUUGCUUUUUGAUGAUGAUAUUGUUGAGAAAAUUGAUGCACAAGCUAUUGAAGAAUUCUACGGGUUGACAUCAGACAUCUCAAAGAACUCUGAGUCUGGUUACAUCCUCUUCUAUCAGUCUCGGGAUUGAGGGGGAACUGUAGCGAAGAGAGAUUGUUAUGCCUCACAUCUCUAUCUUGGAAUGGAGCAAGCACUGAAGAAAAGAAAAGCAGGAAGCUCCAGGGGUGGUAGCACAGUUUGCACACAACUAAGCAAAGAGUUUGGGAUUUUUAAAACCUUCAUAUCAUUACCAUUUUAUUUGCUCAGGUAUCAUGCUGACUACACGUCUCCACUGCAUCCCGUAAGCAAAAAAGAGAUACCAACCAGUCUUGCAGGAGCUUUCCAUUAGGUAAUGCUGUUUCUGUGGUCCUAAUUCAAAGCCCAUUAAGGUCACUGGAGAACCUUACAUGGACUUCAGUGGAAUUUGAAUCAGGUUCUAACUGCACUGCCAGAUUGGUGCAAAAGGAGCAUUAGAAAUCUGUAUUUUAUACAGACUUCACAUAUAAAAAGUAAAGGACUCUUUGUGAACUUAGUUUCCUGUGCUUAAGGUUGAAAGAAUGAGGCUGGGAGGGUUAACAUGUAAGCAAGAAGAUAUAUCUGGGCCCAAUUGCCUUCUUGAUGGUAGUAGUUUAACUGAAGAUAUAAACUGGUGUCAGGGAGGCAAGUAUGUUUUGCUUCUCUGAAGAAGCUUACGUUAUUUAUAAUGUAUGAUCGGGAACAAUCAGUCAAGAUUAUGGCUUUUAAUCUCCGUAUGGGGAAAGGUUUGGUUUGUAAUAGUUUAUUUUUAUUUAUAAAUUAUUGUAACUUAGGAUCUUGUGUACUGACUGUCCUUUAUUCUAACAAGUAUUGAGAAUUUUAUAUAUUAAUUUGAAUUAAAACUAUGUUAAAAUGUUAAAGAAGAGCCAACAUAAAUUCUAAAAACAAUGUCUACAAUGUCUUAAAAAAUUAGUAACAUAGAAGAGAGAUUUCCUUCUGGAAGAACUGGUAUCUAAGUGAGGUACUUUAUUUAAUUAAACUAGAAUAUCAUCUUUCCAUUAAUGGGUGAAAAAAGUGAACAAAUAUUACACAGAAGACUUUUAAGAAUGCAUAUCAAAAGAAAAUGUUGGUGCAGUGGUGGUAUACCAGUCUUUAUAGUUCUUUAAUCAUUUAUUAAUGUCUUGUACUCUAAGCAAAUUAGAAUUAUUUGGAUCAAAGUAAACUGUUUUCAGAAUUUCAUACCCUUUCUUAAAAACAGAUCCACUUAUGUUACCAAUAACAUGGGUGACUGUCUCAAAAACCACUCAAGGUCUCAAGUAUAAAUUUUUCUAAGUAAUAAAAAGAAUCAAGAUUAAAUUUUAGUGAGACUGAAGAUACUGCAUUCCUUUAAAAGUAGAAUGAAGCGUAGGGUUUUUCACUGAAACCAACUGUUUUACCUUGCUUUGGGUUUAUGAAACAGCAUUAAGAACUAACUCUUGACAAAACACCUGAUCUGUAAUAAAUGUGAACUACUGUGAUCUGACAUUCUUCCAUUUAACAGUACUUUGUCUGACAGUAGCUGAAUGUAAUUUCUGGAAAGUCAGGGGAUAUGCAUUCCAGAUGAUGGCAAUCAGGUCUUGGAUGUCCUUGUCACCCCUCUUCAGCUAGUGAUUUUUACAUUAUUGUAGUUUUCUAAGGUUAUUUUAUUGAUACUGUUACGACUUUUGAAAAGAAUGUCUCCUAUCUGCUGCUAUAACUGGCUAUUUACUUACCUGUAUCUUUUAGCUCAGGAAAUGACUUCACCUAUUCGCUCAGUUGAACAAAUCUUUAACAGGGUCACUAAAUAAAUUGGGCUAUUUAGCAACUGUCAUGCUGUAACAAAUUGCUUUUGUAAAAUGCAAAGUUUCUAAAGCCCUGGUUUGGCUAGAAUUCUUUUGUAUAAAAUUAUGUAUCAUGAUUAAACUACCAGCAUUGUAAAGUAAAGCUUAAAUAUUGUGGGAGAUGCAGAAAGUAUGAUUGGAUUUUUCUUAAGGGAUUCAAGUAAUUUUAACACCUUUUUUCAGCUUUCAGUGGGAAAAGGGUUAAGGAGUGAGCCGGUUGGUUAAUGGUGCAUGUUAGAAGGAUGAAGUCCUUUGCAUACUAAAGAUCUACUGCCAUACCCCGAGACAUCUGCAUAGGACUGGCAGAUCUAACACAAGACCUACAAAAGAUCUGCAUCCUUCUGGAGCAGCAGCAUAAGGCUGGACUGAACAUCCUGGCUUGUUCCCCAUGUCUUUGUCUCAGCAUUUUCACAAGCACUGUUGCAUAUGCCCUCCUUGGUGCAUACAAAGAUGAAAGUUUCUAUCACUUCGUUACUUUUCUGAGGCCUCUGGUUACUUUUGUAAUUCCCUUAUUAAAAUGAAAAGAAUUUUAUGUUCUAUUUGGUCCAGGCUCUCAGCUGUGGGUUUAAGAUGAUCAGUAUAGACUUAUCAUUAAGAUUACCCUUGCAACUUUUAAAAAGAAAUUUUGUUAUGUGAAAUGUUCAAUCUUCAUUUAACAGAACUUAGCUUUAUUUCUUAUCUUUUUGCACAGAAAUUUCCGAUUUCCUGUACAAGAAAAAUCUUACUACGGGUUAAAUCUAUGGGUUUCAGUGUUACACUGCAAAUGUUUAUGUGACUAUUUUUCCAGAAGUUUAAAUAAUCCAGAUGUGGUUUGUUUGCUGUCAUGGAGCGGCUUUAUAGUCUGAGUUGUUCACUCCCUCCCCCCAUGUUUGUCUGGGUCGAUCUCAAGAUUGUAUGUCUUAGAAAUUCAGUCUUUGUUUUCCCUCUUGAUAAUACAAUGUGCACAUUUUAUGGUUUCUGUCUUGUAAGGCUUCAAAAAUCCUCUAACCUCUCACAGUAUAAUGUGAGGUGUAUAAUACAUUUGUCUCUUUACAUGCAAGCCUCCAAGUACUCAAUUAUUGCCAAAAUUAAUAUUCUACAUGAUCUGUAUUCAAGGGCUGUUCAUUUUGCAGCAGCAUUGCUGAUCAAUUGUUAUAACUGAACUAUGCAGGUCAACUACCAUGCAAACAAACACUGGCUUCAUCUUUUUACUACGGAGAUCUCUGAAAUCUGUUGUUUCCAAUUUUAAUUAUGGUGAGGCAGAAAUAAACUUUGUUUGGCGUAUGUUCAAAAACAUCUGCAAAAUUGUCUUUUUCUUUUCUUUUUUCUCUUUUAGUGAAUUAAUUUUCAGGCUAACAGUCAGAAAUCUGCUAUUAUGGUCGUUGAAUUCCUUUUGGGGGAGCUUGUAUAAGUGUGUUUUGGAUACAUAAGGAGGAUUGUUUGCAGAUAUCACCAGCUUUGAAAUGAACUAAAGGAUAUCUUCCAGUUUCUUCCCAAAGGUUCAAAUGAAUUAUAUUCCUCCUUUGCCUCUAACGGCUUGUGAUUGCUGCCUUCACAAGAGAUUUUAAGGGUUCAGAAAAGGGCAGAGGUACUGCCUCCUUAGCUCUUUGUAUAGAGCUUGUGUUGGCAGCAUUAGGGAGCUUUAAUUACAGAAGGAUCGUCAGUCAUGUCCUUGAUCUGCAUUCCACGGGUUAUGUAAUUCAGGAGAGAGAGAAUGCAGAGUGGAGAUCUUACAGAGAAAAUGGAGAAGUAACUUUGCAAUUAUUUACUAAAAUACUAGCUAGAAAAGCAACAUUUCCUAAAAGGUAAAAUAUUAAAUUUAAUGAAGAUCUCAGGUGCUGGGAAAAUUUAGGGUGUAUCCAAAACACCCUGCCAUACUCCAGGCUUUUGUUGCUUAUUAAAGCGUCAUGCUUAUAUGUGUGUGUUAAUUUUUUUAUUUAAGUCUAAAUUCAAAUUUUUUUAAUUGUACACAAAUUUGUUAAUAUGACUACGUUACUUAGUGCACUUCCAGAAAACAAUUUAUGUGUAUGUGUCAGUUGAAUGGAGUAUAAUCUUACAACAGUGAUCCAGAAAGCAUUUUCAGCUCUUCACUAGGAGUAUUUUUCAAUUUUGUAUUUUCUGUUACUGUUUUUAAGUUAGAAAAAAAAAAUAAAAAUCUGAAGAUCUCCAAGUACUUUACUAGCAUGCUAUAUUAUUCAGUGAUUCAAUAUCCAUGAAUGCCUAAAAGUCUCACUGCUGUCAAGUGUUGGCUGUUAAGA